rnacentral:rRNA from 1 species
GAUGACCGCUAGCUACAGGCUUAACACAUGCAAGUCGAGGGACCGGCGCACGGGUGAGUAACACGUAUCCAACCUGCCCUUUACUCGGGGAUAGCCUUUCGAAAGAAAGAUUAAUACCCGAUGUAAAGGAUGGGGAUGCGUUCCAUUAGGUUGGUGGUGAGGUAACGGCUCACCAAGACUUCGAUGGAUAGGGGUUCUGAGAGGAAGGUCACCCUAAUUGAAACUGAGACACGGUCCAAACGCCUACUGGAGGCAGCAGUGAGGAAUAUUGGUCAAUGUGCGUUAGCCUGAACCAGCAAAGUAGCGUGAAGGAUGAAGGCUUAUGGGUCGUAAACUUCUUUUAUGUACGAAUAUGUAUGAUAUGACUAAGGAUCGGCUAACUCCGUGCCAGCAGCCGCGGUAAUAC